rnacentral:rRNA from 1 species
UACAUAGGUCUCAAGCGUUGUUCGGAUUCAUUGGGCGUAAAGGGUGCGUAGGCGGCGCGGUAAGUCGGGUGUGAAAUCUUGGAGCUUAACUCCGAAACUGCAUUCGAUACUGCCGUGCUUGAGGACUGGAGAGGAGACUGGAAUUUACGGUGUAGCGGUGAAAUGCGUAGAUAUCGUAAGGAAGACCAGUGGCGAAGGCGGGUCUCUGGACAGUUCCUGACGCUGAGGCACGAAGGUCAGGGGAGCAAACGGG